UGCGGGGUGGAGCAGUGGUAGCUCGUCGGGCUCAUAACCCGGAGGUCGGAGGUUCAAGUCCUUCUCCCGCGUCCA
rnacentral:tRNA from 1 species